ACUUACAAUCUUUUGGUUGCGAAUGCCAUCUUUGCUUUUGACGGAGUUUAGCUGGAGAUCUUUGAAUAUGGAUGAGAUUGCGUUCACGUGGUGGAAGAAUUGGUAUUCGUGUCACAAAAUGAACAAUUCUCUUUUGUUCUUCUACUGAUUGCUCUGACUGUUUCUCUUCUAUAUCUGAUGAUUUCUUUAUAUUUCAAGUUUGCGGAGUUUGUUGCUACUUCUGACAUCACAGGUGAAUGUGAUCGAUCUGAAUGAUUAAUCUGUGUAAAGAUGCAAUUCUGAAUUGGGAAACGAGCACGGAGAGAAGGAGGACGGGCUGAUCUGUUGUUACCGCCAAUAUACGUCUAGUAUGAUUGCUUUACCAGUCUUUUGAAGCAGUAACUUUAUUUUGGAGGAGAGCGGAUGUUGUUGCCUCAAGCCAAUGCUUCUUGGGAUUUUUACCCACAAGGUAGUGACAUCACGCUUCUGCUGGUGGUAACAUUGUCGCUACCUGUAAUUCUCUAAAGCAAGGUAUGUGUAUUAUCUGUUAGAAAAUAAUAAACAAAAUUGGCUUUGAUGCGUGAAAAUUGACUGUCCUUAAAGAGUUAUCGCCUGUAUACUAAUUUAGGGAAAAUACAAAAUGAUUCUCUUCAAGAUACAACAAAGCUUGCAAUAACACUUGUGAUUUUCUAUACCAUUACGUUGGAAUU